UACGAAGGGGGCGAGCGUUGUUCGGAAUUACUGGGCGUAAAGGGCGCGCAGGCGGCUCUGAAAGUCAGAUGUGAAAGCCCCGGGCUUAACCUGGGAACUGCAUUUGAUACUCUGGAGCUUGAGUACGGGAGAGGAGAGUGGAAUUCCCAGUGUAGAGGUGAAAUGCGCAGAUAUCGGGAAGAACACCCGUGGCGAAGGCGGCUCUCUGGGACGGUACUGACGCUGAGACGCGAAAGCGUGGGGAGCGAACAGG
rnacentral:rRNA from 1 species